AGUGAACGCUGGCGGUAGGCCUAACACAUGCAAGUCGAACGGCAGCACGGUACGUGCUUGCUCUUACGGGUGGCGAGUGGCGGACGGGUGAGGAAUACAUCGGAAUCUACUUUUUCGUGGGGGAUAACGUAGGGAAACUUACGCUAAUACCGCAUACGACCUACCGUUGAAAGCAUUGGAUCUUCUGACCUUGUGCGAUUGAAUGAGCCGAUGUGGGAUUAGCUAGUUGGCGGGGUAAAGGCCCACCCAGGCGCCGAUCCGUAGCUGGUCUGAGAGGAUGAUAGGCCACACUGGAACGGGAACACGGACAAGACGCCUAAGGGAGGCAGCAGUGGGGAAUAGUGGACAAAGGGCGCAAGCAUGAUCCAGCCAUACCGAGUGGGUGAAGAAGGCCUUCGGGUUGGAAAGACCGUUUGUGGGGAAAGAAAAGCAGCAGGUUAAGACCCAGCGGGAGUGACGGUAACCAAAGAAGAAGCACCGGCUAACUUCGUG
rnacentral:rRNA from 1 species